GUAGGUGGCAAGCGUUGUCCGGAAUUAUUGGGCGUAAAGCGCGCGCAGGCGGGUUCUUUAAGUCUGAUGUGAAAGCCCCCGGGCUCAACCGUGGAGGGUCAUUGGAAACUGGAGAACUUGAGUACAGAAGAGGAAAGCGGAGUUCCACGUGUAGCGGUGAAAUGCGUAGAGAUGUGGAGGAACACCAGUGGCGAAGGCGGCUUUCUGGUCUGUAACUGACGCUGAGGCGCGAAAGCGUGGGGAGCAAACAGGAUUAGAUACCCUGGUAGUCCACGCCGUAAACGAUGAGUGCUAAGUGUUAGGGGGUUUCCGCCCCUUAGUGCUGCAGCUAACGCAUUAAGCACUCCGCCUGGGGAGUACGGCCGCAAGGCUG
rnacentral:rRNA from 1 species